UGGUUCUCUCGCAAUGCUAGAUUAUGAAACCCGUCAGGUCCGGAAGGAAGCAGCGGUAGUGAUUGAUGCAUGUGCCGAGAUGUAGCU
rnacentral:SRP_RNA from 1 species